rnacentral:rRNA from 1 species
CUACGGGAGGCAGCAGUCGAGAAUCAUUGUCAAUGCGCGAAAGCGUGAACGUGCGAUACCGCGUGUGGGAAGAAGGCGUUAUGCGUUGUAAACCACUGUCAGGGGCUAUGAAUAAGCGAGUGAUCCUCGUGAUGACGUAAACCCCAAAGGAAGUCGCAGGCUAACUACNUGCCAGCAAGCCGC